GUGCAAACUCGAUCACUGGCUCUGCAUGAUGUGGCAGAAGCAAAGGGAACCAGGUUUGCUAAAGUAACUGUGGUGAUAGAAAUGUUUUCACCUCAGAAGCUGCUGAGGUGGCCCAUUCUAUCCCAGUACAGUG